rnacentral:lncRNA from 1 species
CUACAUCCCAAAUAUGACUCUAGAUAUGGAAUGAUGUCAAAUUUAAUAUUAUAUUUAUUUUUUUUAAUCUUUAAUAAUGAUUUAAUUAAUAAAAUAUUAAAAACUCUUUCUAAUAUUCAUCCCACUUUGAUCAAAGACUUUCUGAAUCAUCAAUCGAUCAGAGCAAGUAGGAUACAAUCUCCUCUUACUAAGAGUGAUCGAUUCGAUGUUGACCUACU